AGCUUUGCGCAGUGGCAGUAUCGUAGCCAAUGAGGUUUAUCUGAGGCACAAUUCUCGCUAAUUAAAAAAAAUUGAGCUCUAAGAACGACUAUAGAACAGGAGUUGCCAGGGGGUGGGGGGUGGUGGAAACAGGGAAAUAUUCGUCAAAGCAUCUGGACU
rnacentral:snRNA from 13 species